rnacentral:rRNA from 1 species
AAAGGAAUUGACGGGGGCUCACACAAGCGGUGGAGCAUGUGGCUUAAUUCGAAGCAACGCGAAGAACCUUAUCCUGGGUUUGACAUGCUUGGAUGCCCAUCCUGAAAGGGAGUAGGCUGCUCUUCGGAGUGAAACUUGCACAGGUGCUGCAUGGCUGUCGUCAGCUCGUGUCGUGAGAUGUCGGGUUAAGUCCCUUAACGAGCGAAACCCUUAUCGUUAGUUGCCCACGCGUUAUGGCGGGAACUCUAACGAGACUGCCGGUGUUAAACCGGAGGAAGGCGGGGAUGACGUCAAGUCCUCAUGGCCUUUAUGCCCAGGGCUGCACACGUGCUACAAUGGCGCGCACAGACCGAUGCGAUACCGCAAGGCGGAGCAAAUCGGAAAAAUCGCGUCCCAGUUCGGAUUGUAGGCUGCAACUCGCCUACAUGAAGUUGGAAUCGCUAGUAAUCGCGGAUCAGCUAUGCCGCGGUGAAUAUGUUCCUGAGCCUUGUACACACCGCCCGU